UACAGAGGGUGCGAGCGUUAAUCGGAGUUACUGGGCGUAAAGGGCGCGUAGGCGGAUUAUUAAGUGAGAUGUGAAAUCCCUGGGCUUAACCUAGGAACUGCGUCUCAUACUGGUAGUCUAGAGUAUUGUAGAGGGUAGUGGAAUUUCCGGUGUAGCGGUGAAAUGCGUAGAGAUCGGAAGGAACACCAGUGGCGAAGGCGGCUACCUGGACAAAUACUGACGCUGAGGCGCGAAAGCGUGGGGAGCAAACAGG
rnacentral:rRNA from 1 species